GCUUGACUGCGAGACCUACAAGUCGAGCAGGGACGAAAGUCGGGCUUAGUGAUCCGGUGGUUCCGCAUGGAAGGGCCAUCGCUCAACGGAUAAAAGCUACCCUGGGGAUGCUUGACUGCGAGACCUACAAGUCGAGCAGGGACGAAAGUCGGGCUUAGUGAUCCGGUGGUUCCGCAUGGAAGGGCCAUCGCUCAACGGAUAAAAGCUACCCUGGGGAUAACAGGCUUAUCUCCCCCAAGAGUCCACAUCGACGGGGAGGUUUGGCACCUCGAUGUCGGCUCAUCGCAUCCUGGGGCUGAAGUAGGUCCCAAGGGUUGGGCUGUUCGCCCAUUAAAGCGGUACGCGAGCUGGGUUCAGAACGUCGUGAGACAGUUCGGUCCCUAUCCGUCGCGGGCGUAGGAAAUUUGAGAGGAGCUGUCCUUAGUACGAGAGGACCGGGAUGGACACACCGCUGGUGUACCAGUUGUUCCGCCAGGAGCAUAGCUGGGUAGCUACGUGUGGAAGGGAUAAGUGCUGAAAGCAUCUAAGCAUGAAGCCCCCCUCGAGAUGAGAUUUCCCUUGGAGUUAAUCCAGUAAGACCCCUUAAAGAUGAUGAGGUUGAUAGGUCUCGGGUGGAAGCACGGCGACGUGUGGAGCUGAGAGAUACUAAUCGGUCGAGGACUUAUCCUAU
rnacentral:rRNA from 1 species